AUCAUACCUCAAUUUGAUGACAGAUUUUGGCCUCCAGGGCAGCCAUUUUUUCAUCACCAUUUUCAGCCAUUGUGGCCACCUUUAAGGUCCCGGUUUCGA